rnacentral:lncRNA from 1 species
AGAAGCUUCAGCUUGAAGCUGUCAUCGGCCCUCUGUAUCUGUCUGCCUCCCUUUAUCACUUCCCCCCUCAUUUCUCCACCUCUUCUUAUUUAUCUCCCUCCCUCCCUCUCUCUGUCCCUGACUGUGAUGUGGAUGCAGCGUGUGAGCAGCAGCCAGUGAGCGUGCCUACGUUAGCAGUGUGUGCUGUUGGAAUCCAUGCAGCGGCUGACUGUACUGCCUCUUAAAUAGGAGCAAACAGACUCAUCGCUCGUGACUCUGACACCACUGAGACCAACGCUCCCUCUCCCGGACUGACGGGCCAAUCGCAGGACACCCCUCACUCUCUGUCUCUCUCUCUCUCUCUCCCUCUGAUUCUCUCUCUCGCAUUCAUUCCUUUGCUCUCUAUCUCUCUCUCUGUCUGUAGCUAAGUCUCUCUACCACACCUCGUCCAGAGCAGAGGAACAGAAAGCCCCCUGCCCAGCCCAGGGAUAGCCAGACCGCUGAGAGGAUGAAACUCUGACAAGCCGACAGACCGCAGGGAAACGAGCACAACUGCCCACAGAUAAUUGGUUGAAGAGAGAGUCCAGGAAGGUCAGCCAAGAAAGCAGCCGUAGGUGCCAGCGUGAAAUCUACAGGAACUACAAUUACUUCAACAGUGAGCCGCUGGAACAAGGUGAAUGACAGACGCUGUUUCACACAGAGUGAUGCUGAGACUGGCUUAGGCUUGCAGCACCACUGAAGACUGGUACACGGCACUAGACAAUGACUAUUAGCCCCAAGACCAGCGAACAGUGAUCAACUGACCUCUGAGACAGGUUGUAUCUGACAGAGAGAGGACCACCGCCACGCUCCAGCCCCAACCCACUGGUUCAUUAGUAUCAACAGUGAGUGAAUCACCCAGCUUUGGCCCGUCCGGCGUUACCUGUACAUGGAGACCCCCAGCUGGGCAGAACUACCCACCACCAAAGGACCAAGCAGCGGAGAAGAGGACAGAGGCGAGUGAGGGAGGAAUGUUGGAGGCAGCCCCAAUAAUUUUUUAGGGGGGGGCACAAGGGCUAUUUGGCGGGGCGUGAUUACAGCCCCAGGCCAGCUCCCCGUACCCUUGUAGGGCAGACUGGACAGGUCCCGUGCUUUGGGGUUGGGGCUGUGGUGAGGCCUGGGAUUUU